rnacentral:tRNA from 1 species
UCUCGAUUGGUCUAGUGGUAAGGAUACCUGCUUGUCAAAAAGCAAUUCGCAGGUGGCCGGGGUUCGAUUCCCCGAUCGAGAG